rnacentral:rRNA from 1 species
AGACUCCUACGGGAGGCAGCAGUGGGGAAUAUUGCGCAAUGGGCGAAAGCCUGACGCAGCGACGCCGCGUGAGGGAAGAAGGCCUUCGGGUCGUAAACCUCUGUCAGAAGGGAAGAAACCCUUGAGGGCGAAUAGGCCUUUUGG